GUUGUGGCUCAGUGGUAUAGUGCUCACCUAGAACAUGGGAGGCACUGGGUUCAAUCCUCAGCAUCACA
rnacentral:tRNA from 1 species